rnacentral:pre_miRNA from 1 species
GGUCGGAUGAUUAUUGCGAAUUAGUUAUUUUUAUACUUAAUUUGCGAUAACAUUCAAGACCAA